CCGCAAGGGAUCGGUAGAGUGGCAAACGGGUGAGUAACACGUGGGUGACCUGCCUUCGAGUGGGGGAUAACGUCCCGAAAGGGACGCUAAUACCGCAUGACAUCCUGCCUUUGAAGAGGUGGAGAUCAAAGCUGGGGAUCGCAAGACCUAGCGCUUGAAGAGGGGCCCGCGUCUGAUUAGCUAGUUGGUGAGGUAACGGCUCACCAAGGCUACGAUCAGUAUCCGGCCUGAGAGGGCGGACGGACACACUGGGACUGAGACACGGCCCAGACUCCUACGGGAGGCAGCAGUGGGGAAUUGUUCGCAAUGGGCGCAAGCCUGACGACGCAACGCCGCGUGGAGGAUGAAGACCUUCGGGUCGUAAACUCCUUUCGAUCGAGACGAACGGCUUCCGGGCGAAUAUCCCGGGAGAUUGACGGUACCGAGAGAAGAAGCCCCGGCUAACUCCGUGCCAGCAGCCGCGGUAAUACGGGGGGGGCAAGCGUUGUUCGGAAUUACUGGGCGUAAAGGGCUCGUAGGCGGCCAACUAAGUCAGACGUGAAAUCCCUCGGCUUAACCGGGGAACUGCGUCUGAUACUGGAUGGCUUGAGGUUGGGAGAGGGAUGCGGAAUUCCAGGUGUAGCGGUGAAAUGCGUAGAUAUCUGGAGGAACACCGGUGGCGAAGGCGGCAUCCUGGACCAAAUCUGACGCUGAGGAGCGAAAGCCAGGGGAGCAAACGGGAUAGAUACCCCGGUAGUCCU
rnacentral:rRNA from 1 species